UUUAUGGAGAGUUUGAUCCUGGCUCAGGACGAACGCUGGCGGCGUGCCUAAUACAUGCAAGUCGAGCGAACAGAAAAGGAGCUUGCUCCUUUGACGUUAGCGGCGGACGGGUGAGUAACACGUGGGCAACCUACCUUAUAGUUUGGGAUAACUCCGGGAAACCGGGGCUAAUACCGAAUAAUCUAUUUCACUUCAUGGUGAAAUACUGAAAGACGGUUUCGGCUGUCGCUAUAAGAUGGGCCCGCGGCGCAUUAGCUAGUUGGUGAGGUAACGGCUCACCAAGGCGACGAUGCGUAGCCGACCUGAGAGGGUGAUCGGCCACACUGGGACUGAGACACGGCCCAGACUCCUACGGGAGGCAGCAGUAGGGAAUCUUCCACAAUGGGCGAAAGCCUGAUGGAGCAACGCCGCGUGAGUGAAGAAGGUUUUCGGAUCGUAAAACUCUGUUGUAAGG
rnacentral:rRNA from 1 species